rnacentral:rRNA from 1 species
GUGGGGAAUUUUGGACAAUGGGCGCAAGCCUGAUCCAGCAAUGCCGCGUGCAGGAAGAAGGCCUUCGGGUUGUAAACUGCUUUUGUACGGAACGAAACGGUCCUGGUUAAUACCUGGGGCUAAUGACGGUACCGUAAGAAUAAGCACCGGCUAACUACGUGCCAGCAGCCGCGGUAAUACGUAGGGUGCGAGCGUUAAUCGGAAUUACUGGGCGUAAAGCGUGCGCAGGCGGUGCUGUAAGACAGGCGUGAAAUCCCCGGGCUCAACCGGGGAAUUGCGCUUGUGACUGCAGUGCUGGAGUGCGGCAGAGGGGGAUGGAAUUCCGCGUGUAGCAGUGAAAUGCGUAGAUAUGCGGAGGAACACCGAUGGCGAAGGCAAUCCCCUGGGCCUGCACUGACGCUCAUGCACGAAAGCGUGGGGAGCAAACAGGAUUAGAAACUCUUGUAGUCC